rnacentral:rRNA from 1 species
AUUGAACGCUGGCGGCAGGCUUAACACAUGCAAGUCGAGCGGGGUGAUGGUGCUUGCACUAUCACUUAGCGGCGGACGGGUGAGUAAUGCUUAGGAAUCUGCCUAUUAGUGGGGGACAACAUCUCGAAAGGGAUGCUAAUACCGCAUACGUCCUACGGGAGAAAGCAGGGGAUCACUUGUGACCUUGCGCUAAUAGAUGAGCCUAAGUCGGAUUAGCUAGUUGGUGGGGUAAAGGCCUACCAAGGCGACGAUCUGUAGCGGGUCUGAGAGGAUGAUCCGCAACACUGGGACUGAGACACGGCCCAGACUCCUACGGGAGGAAGCAGUGGGGAAUAUUGGACAAUGGGGGGAACCCUGAUCCAGCCAUGCCGCGUGUGUGAAGAAGGCCUUAUGGUUGUAAAGCACUUUAAGCGAGGAAGAGGCUCUUUUGGUUAAUACCCAAGAUGAGUGGACGUUACUCGCAGAAUAAGCACCGGCUAACUCUGUGCCAGCAGCCGCCGUAA